GUGGGGAAUAUUGGACAAUGGGCGCAAGCCUGAUCCAGCCAUGCCGCGUGAGUGAUGACGGCCCUAGGGUUGUAAAGCUCUUUUACCCGGGAAGAUAAUGACGGUACCGGGAGAAUAAGCCCCGGCUAACUUCGUGCCAGCAGCCGCGGUAAUACGAAGGGGGCUAGCGUUGUUCGGAUUUACUGGGCGUAAAGCGCACGUAGGCGGACGCUUAAGUCAGGGGUGAAAUCCCGAGGCUCAACCUCGGAACUGCCUUUGAUACUGGGUGUCUUGAGUCCGGAAGAGGUGAGUGGAACUGCGAGUGUAGAGGUGAAAUUCGUAGAUAUUCGCAAGAACACCAGUGGCGAAGGCGGCUCACUGGUCCGGAACUGACGCUGAGGUGCGAAAGCGUGGGGAGCAAACAGG
rnacentral:rRNA from 1 species